CCAACGAGUUACGUUAAGUAGCAAGGUUAAGCACUUAAGGUGUGGAGCCGUAGCGAAAGCGAGUUUUAACUGAGCGUUCAGUUACUUGACGUAGAACCGAAACCGGGCGAGCUACCCAUGAGCAGGAGGAAGCGAAAGUAAAAUUUCGUGGAGGUCCGAACCCACGAGCGUUGAAAAGCUCGGGGAUGACUUGUGGGUAGCGGUGAAAUUUCAAUCGAGCCCGGAGAUAGCAGGGUCUCCCACAAAUAGCUUUAGGGCUAGACACAAGGUGAGAGAAACGGAGGUAGAGCCAUGAAUGUCUGAGGGGGUAUUGCACAUACCGAAGACUAUCAAACUCCGAAUGCCGUCAUCUUAUACUUGGGAGUCAGACUGUGGGUGAUAAGAUUCAUAGUCGAAAGGGCAACAGCCCAGAUCGUCAGCUAAGGUCCCUAAAUGUAAGUUAAGUGGUAAAGGAUGUGGGAUUGCACAGACAACCAGGAUGUUGGCUUAGAAGCAGCCACUCAUUCAAAGAGUGCGUAAUAGCUCACUGGUCGAGUGAUCCUGCGCCGAAGAUUUCCGGGGCUAAA
rnacentral:rRNA from 1 species